rnacentral:rRNA from 1 species
CAGAGUAACUGUUGUCGGCGUGACGGUAUCCAACCAGAAAGCCACGGCUAACUACGUGCCAGCAGCCGCGGUAAUACGUAGGUGGCAAGCGUUAUCCGGAUUUAUUGGGCGUAAAGCGAGCGCAGGCGGUUUUUUAAGUCUGAUGUGAAAGCCCUCGGCUUAACCGAGGAAGUGCAUCGGAAACUGGRAAACUUGAGUGCAGAAGAGGACAGUGGAACUCCAUGUGUAGA